GUGGCAAAAGUCUUCCCUACGGUCUGCAAAGAUAAAGCCAGUGGUUUCACAAUGUUCUUAUUCCGGGUCAGGUCCUGAGCGCCGCUUACGCUGACUGCAGAAUUAGCUGGACUGAGAACUGCUGGGUACCUGAUUCAGCAAAUCAGUGCUGCUCAAAGAAUACAAAAGAAUGAAAUGGUCCCUGUUGGUUUGGAGCAGUAACUCUCAGGGCCUAACUGAAUCACCAGGGAGACGCUCAGGUCCACUGGAAAACAGCAGUGAGCAAAAGGACACACAGCACAAAGCUGCGGCAAACCCAAGACAGCCCAGCAGGAGUCUCACCUCUUCCCACCACUUCGAGGACAGAAAUCCAGAUACGGAUGGACCUGGCAUUAUGAACUCAGACGCAAAGAAAUCACGGAAGCAGCUCACCGUCUGCCGGACGUGGUCGGAGUUGUGCUGCUGUGUGCUCACUGCAGUGGGAUGGCACCUCAGGAACUUCCUGGGUUUUGUGUGUUUGGUUUUCUUAUGCUUUACAGUGUGCAUCUGUGUCAAAGGUGUAUGCGUCUUACUUUGUUGAAUUUACAAAUGAACCCAACAUGUGAAGGUUCUCCUGGAACAGAACUCAUUCAGCAGCUGGAGACUUACUGUACUUUUGAAAUGAAUGUCAGACAUUAUUGAUUUUCCCUUGUUGGGUGUUGGCUAGUUUUCCAACCUUAAGACUAUUCUUAAACUUGGAUUGGCAGUCAUUUAAACUGAUUCUGAAACAUUUUGAACAGAAAAAGCCAUUCACAAAGCACUUUGAUAUCAUUUCAUUUCUAUAACAUUAAAAAAGGCA